rnacentral:rRNA from 1 species
UACGUAGGUGGCAAGCGUUAUCCGGAACUAUUGGGCGUAAAGAGCGCGCAGGUGGUUAAUUAAGUCUGAUGUGAAAGCCCACGGCUUAACCGUGGAGGGUCAUUGGAAACUGGUUGACUUGAGUGCAGAAGAGGGAAGUGGAAUUCCAUGUGUAGCGGUGAAAUGCGUAGAGAUAUGGAGGAACACCAGUGGCGAAGGCGGCUUCCUGGUCUGCAACUGACACUGAGGCGCGAAAGCGUGGGGAGCAAACAGG